rnacentral:lncRNA from 1 species
CGCCACUGCUCCAGCUGCCGCCGCUACUGCCUCUGCCUCGGCUGCCACCUGAGGAGACCCACGGUCCAGACCCGCGGCGCUGCCCCGCCGACCCUUCUCAGGUCCCGGGAGAUCCCUGCGCCGUGCAACUCUCCUUGCUCUUCUUAUCCUCUCCUUUGCAAGAAGAGAAACUCCUCGGAGACAGCAGCCAAACUAAUUGUGGGCAUUGUGGUUGGUCUCCUCCUCGCCGCCCUCGUCGCCGGUGUCGUCUACUGGCUGUACAUGAAGAAAUCGAAAACUGCAUCAAAACAUGUAAACAAGGACCUUGGUAAUAUGGAGGAGAAUAAAAAGCUAGAAGAAAACAAUCACAAAACAGAAGCCUAAGAGAGGAGUUGUUUAGAUGUCCUGAGAAAAAAACAUAUAAAGAAAUUGAAGCAUGAACGUGGAUUGUAUUUAAGACAUAUACAAAGACAAUGACAGCAAUUCAUGGUUCAAGUAUUAAGAUGUUCAUCCUACUAAGCUGUCCUGGGAUCUUAGAGAAUUAUCUCAAGUAAAACAAUGAAAUAAAGUUAUAAAAUUACAACAAGAUUUGGCAGCCAUGAUAAUAGGUCAUAUGUUGUAUUUCGUUUGAUUUUUUUUUUCUGUAAAUGUCUGCACUGAGGAUUUCUUUCAGUUUGCCUUUUAUGUAAAUUUUUUACGUAGCUAUUUUUAUACACUGUAAGCUUUGUUCUGGGAGUGGCUGUUAAUUGGAUGUACAAUGUAAUGUUUAUUUCAAUUGUUUAUAUGGAUAGUCUGAGCAGGUGCGGUUCUGAUUCUGAUUGCUAUCAGUAAUGCCCCAAACUUUCUUGUGAGGAUCUGAAACCCAAAGGUGGCAGUUAUGAGAUUGGGACAUGGAUCUUGCCCAAUCAGAAGCUGUUUUUUUUUUAAAAAAAAAAACCUGGAGAGUCAGGAGCACCAUAAGAUAUGAUGGUCUCUAUGUGCCAACGGGUUCCCCGAAGCGGGUCACAAACACAUACGGCAACACCACAUGUGAAUGAUACUUUUAAACUGACAAUUUCGUCUUCUCUGAAAAAAGACAUACACAGAGUUUGUAUAACACUUUACUUAACGACACUUGCUAGAAAAUUACAUUCUGUUUUUAAAAAAAAUAAGGAAAAUGUAAAGAAGAAUAUCUAAUAUGUCAGAGAAAGUUGGAAACAAAUCACAGCUCGCAUCCCCAUAGUCGCAGAUCACGAUGUAAAUCACUGUAAUUAAAAUUGGUGUUAAAUCCUUUGGGUUAUCCACUGCCUUAAAAUGACACUUAUUUCCUU